CCUACGGGAGACAGCAGUGAGGAAUAUUGGUCAAUGGGCGGAAGCCUGAACCAGCAAUGCCGCGUGCAGGAAGACGGCCCUAUGAGUUGUAAACUGCUUUUGUACAAGAGUAAACCUGAAUACGUGUAUUCAGAUGAAAGUACUGUACGAAUAAGGAUAGACUAACUCCGUGUCAGCAGCCGCGGUAAUACGGAGGAUACAAGCGUUAUCCGGAUUUAUUGGGUUUAAAGGGAGCGUAGGCGGAUUGAUAAGUUAGAGGUGAAAUGUCCGGGCUUAACUCGGGAACUGCCUCUAAUACUGUUGAUCUAGAGAGUAGAUGCGGUAGGCGGAAUGUAUGGUGUAGCGGUGAAAUGCUUAGAGAUCAUGCAGAACACCGAUUGCGAAGGCAGCUUACCAAUCUAUAUCUGACGUUGAGGCACGAAAGCGUGGGGAGCAAACAGGAUUAGAUACCCCUGUAGUC
rnacentral:rRNA from 1 species